rnacentral:rRNA from 1 species
AUACGUAGGGAGCGAGCGUUGUCCGGAAUUACUGGGUGUAAAGGGAGCGUAGGCGGGAGUGCAAGUCAGAUGUGAAAUCUCCGGGCUCAACCCGGAAAUUGCAUUUGAAACUGCAGGUCUUGAGUAUCGGAGAGGCAAGCGGAAUUUCUCGUGUAGCGGUGAAAUGCGUAGAUAUUAGGAGGAACACCAGUGGCGAAGGCGGCUUGCUGGACGACAACUGACGCUGAGGCGCGAAAGCGUGGGGAGCAAACAGGAUUAGAUACCCUGGUAGUCCACGCCCUAAACGAUGAAUACUAGGUGUGGGGGGACUGACCCCCUCCGUGCCGGAGUAAACACAAUAAGUAUUCCACCUGGGGAGUACGACCGCAAGGUUGAAACUCAAAGGAAUUGACGGGG